rnacentral:rRNA from 1 species
GCUCAGAUUGAACGCUGGCGGCAGGCCUAACACAUGCAAGUCGARCGGUAGCACAGRGAGCUUGCUCYYGGGUGACGAGYGGCGGACGGGUGAGUAAUGUCUGGGAAACUGCCUGAUGGAGGGGGAUAACUACUGGAAACGGUAGCUAAUACCGCAUAACGUCGCAAGACCAAAGAGGGGGACCUUCGGGCCUCUUGCCAUCAGAUGUGCCCAGAUGGGAUUAGCUAGUAGGUGGGGUAAUGGCUCACCUAGGCGACGAUCCCUAGCUGGUYUGAGAGGAUGACCAGCCACACUGGAACUGAGACACGGUCCAGACUCCUACGGGAGGCAGCAGUGGGGAAUAUUGCACAAUGGGCGCAAGCCUGAUGCAGCCAUGCCGCGUGUAUGAAGAAGGCCUUCGGGUUGUAAAGUACUUUCAGCGAGGAGGAAGGUGUUGAGGUUAAUAACCUCAGCAAUUGACGU